ensembl:lncRNA
AGGGAACAGAGAGUGUGGCCGUGGAAUCAGAGUCCUACAAUGGGCUGGGUUGGAAAGGGCCACAGUGAUCAUGCAGUUCCAACUGGAAGGGUCCUUCCAGAUCACAGAGACAUCGAAUGGUUGGGUUGGAAGGGUCCUUACAGGUCACAGAGCAAUGGAAGGGUUGGGUUGGGUUGGAUGGGUCCUUCCAGAUCACAGGGCCAUGGAACUGUUGGGUUGGAAGUGUCCUUACAGAUCACAGAGCCAUGGAAUGGUUAGGUUGGGUUGGAAGGGUCCUUGAAGAUCAUAAAGUCAUGGAAUGAUUAGGUUUGAAGGGUCCUUACAGGUCACAGAGACAUGGAAAGGUUGUGUUGGAAGGAUCGUUGAAGAUCACAGAGUCAUGGAACGGCUGGUUUGGGUUGGAAGGAUCCUUGAAGAUCAGACAACCACAGAAUGGUUGGGUUGAAAGGGUCCUUACAGGUCACAGAGCCAUGGAAUGGUUGGGUUGGGUUGGAUGGGUCCUUACAGAUCACAGGGCCAUGGAAUGGUUGGGUUGGGUUGGAAGGGUCCUUCAAGAUCACAGAGCCAUGGAAUGGUUGGGUUGGGUUUAUACGCUCCCUUUAGGUCCUGGAAGGCCACAAUGAGGUCUCCCCGCAGCCUUCUUUUUCCAAGCUGAACAAGCCCAGUUCCCUCAACAUUUCCCCAUAGGAGAGCUGCUCCAGCUCUCCAGCUCUAGCUGAUGGUGAUUAAGCUUGCUGAUGGCACACAGCUGGGAGCAGAGGGCCGUGCUGCCAUCCAUUGAGCCCUGGGCAGGGAGAAACGGGAUGGAACACAACAACUGCAGCGUGGAGUAUUGCAUGUGGGCAUGGAGAAGGCCAUGGGCAAGUACAGGUUGGGGACAGAGCAGAAUAAAGGGACCUGGGGGGUCCUGGUGGGCAGCAGGAGGACCAUGAGACAGCAGUGUGCUUUGGUGGCCAAGAAGGCCAAUGGUGGCCUGUACAGGAGGAUCAUGAGCCAACACUGGGCUUUGGUGGCCAAGGUCGAUGGUGGCCUGGGCAGGAGGAGGACCAUGAGCCAGGAGUGUGCUUUGGUGGCCAAGAAGGCCAAUGGUGGCCUGGGAAGGAGGAGAACCACAAGGCAGCACUGUGCUUUGGUGGCCAAGAAGGUCAAUGGUGGCCUGAACAGGAGGACCACGAGCCAACACUGUACUUUGGUGGCCAAGAAGGUCGAUGGUGGCCAAGGCAAGAGGACCAUGAGCCAGCAGUGUGCUUUGGUGGCCAAGAAGGUCAAUGGUGGCCUGGGCAGGAGGAGGACUAUGAGCCAGCAGUGUGCUUUGGUGGCCAAGAAGGCCAAUGGAGGCCUGGGCAGGAGGGGGACUAUGAGCCAGCAGUGUGCUUUGGUGGCCAAGAAGACCAAUGGUGGCCUGGGCCGGAGAACUAUGAGACAGCAGUGUGCUUUGGUGGCCAAGAAGGCCAAUGGUGGCCUGGGCAGGAGGAGGACCACAGGACAGCAGUGUGCUUUGGUGGCCAAGAAGGCCAAUGGUGGCCUGGGCAGGAGGAGGACUAUGAGCCAGCAGUGUGCUUUGGUGGCCAAGAAGGCCAAUGGUGGCCUGGGCAGGAGGAGGACCACGAGCCAGCAGUGUGCUUUGGUAGCCAAGAAGGCCAAUGGUGGCCUGGGAAGGAGGACCAUGAGACUGCACUGUGCUUUGGUGGCCAAGAAGGCCAAUGGUGGCCUGGGGUGCAUUGGAAGAGGGGUGGGUGGGAGGUCCAGAGAGGUUCUCCUGCCCCUCUGCCCUGCCCUGGGGAGGCCACCUCUGGAUUCCUGUGUCCACAUGGGGGUCCCUCCGUUCCAGAGGGACGAGGAGGUGCUGGAGGGAGCCCGGAGCAGAGCUGAGGAGGUGGUGAAGGCAGCAGAGCAUCUCUGUGCUGAGGAAGGGCAGAGGGGAGUGGGGGCUCUUUAGUUUGGAGAAAGGGGGAGACGGAGGGGUGACCCCAUUGGUGCUGACAGAUACCUACUCUGGAGGUGGAUCGGAACGGGUGAUCUUCAAGGACCCUUCCAAUCCCUGAUGCAAUUCUGUGCUACAACCCCGUGCCACGUGGAGCCCCCCACGCUGUGUCUCAACGCAGACCCCCAGACCCCACCCCAGCACCGACCUUUCUGUGCCUCCCUCAGGGAGCUGCUGACGAUCGUCCACCAUUUCUGUGCCUCGCGCUCCUCCUCGAAGCUGAACACCAUGGGCUCGUCCAGGGAGCCGAGGACGAGCAGCUCGUGACACGUGGGGGUCUUCACCGUGUAGGAAAUGUCCUUCAGGUCGUACUCGGCGAUGCUCUGCGGGCAAAGGGACAGAGGGGUCAGUGCAGGAGGAAGGUCCUGGAGGAUGAGAGAGACGUGGAACCAUGGAAUGGUUGGGUUGGAAGGGUCCUUAAAGGUCACACAGCUUUGAGAUUGUGAAGCAGUUGGGUUGGAAGGGCCCUUAAAGAUCACAGAAACAUGCAAUGGUCGGGUUAGAAGGGUCCUUGAAGAACAUAGAAACAUAGAACUAUGGAAUGGUUGGGUUGGAAGGGUCCUUAAAGGUCACACAGCUUUGAGAUUGUGAAGCAGUUGGGUUGGAAGGGUCCUUAAAGAUCACAGAACCAUGGAAUGGUCGGGUUAGAAGGGUCCUUAAAGGUCAUAGAAACAUGGAACCAUGGAAUAUUUGGGUUGGAAGGGUCCUUAAAGGUCAUAGAGACAUGGAACCAUGGAAUGGUUGGGUUGGAAGGGUCCUUAAAGGUCAUAGAGACAUGGAACCAUGGAAUGGUUGGGUUGGAAGGGUCCUUAAAGGUCAUAGAGACAUGGAACCAUGGAAUGGUUGGGUUGGAAGGGUCCUUGAAGGUCAUAGAGACAUGGAACCAUGGAAUGGUUGGGUUGGAAGGGUCCUUGAAGGUCAUAGAGACAUGGAACCAUGGAAUGGUGGGGUUGGAAGGGUCCUUAAAGAUUACACAACCACAGAAUGGUUGGGUUGGAAAGGUCCUGAAAGACCACAGAGAUGUAGAAUGGUUGGGAUGGGCUGGAAAGGUCCUUCAAGAUCACAAACCCAUGGAAGGGUUGGAACGGAGAGGUCCUUAAAGAUCACAGAGCCACAGAAGCUCCGUUAGUUGAAAACAACAACGGGGUUGGAAGGGAAACGCUCGCUGUCCUGCCAGGACCCAACUCUGCCCGCUUUCCUCACCACAAUUCGGCCUUGGCUCCAAUGGGGCUGCACAGCUGAGGGGGGGGGGGGGGGGGAGGCACAAAAAAUCAAUGGGAAAACCCCACAGAACCAUUGGGGUGGCUCCGAUCCGCCCUGCCCCACUCGUUCCCUUUUCGGCCCGAGGGUCACGCGGAGCACUGCCAUCCCCGGCCCUAUUUUGGGAUGGUGAGCCCUCGCUUUGGCAGCAGCCCAUGAGCUCUCAGCACGACGUGCCAGGGCAGUGCUGAGGCCCCACAGAGGGACAGACGGACACGAGGAGCUGCCCCAGUAAUCCCAUCUCGCUGCCUGGGGGGGCUUUGGGGGGCACGCGGGGCAGGAGGGGCCACCCACUGCCUGCUCCCCACUCCCAGGGACCCCCAGACACCACAUUGUGUUUUAUAGGGAUAUAAAGACUGGAGAGUU